CUGGAUCAGCUACGACUCUUGGAAAAGAAGCUCGCGCAUGAGGCCUACCUCCACCCGUAGGUUGUCAAAGGGAUAAUUAUGUAUAAAUUAUUUUGUUUUUCAUUUAAAACCAGUUUAUUUUAAAUAUUUUUUUUAUCUCUAAAAGAACAUGUCGAAAUUAAUGUUAUUCUACAUGAACAUUUCUUUUUUUUCCGGGACUAUGCAAGAGUCCUCGGUCUCAAGUGGGACCAACGCCGACAAGAUCGGUCUUUUUUCAGGUCUUCAACUGGGAAAGCCCGAGAAAAGCCUUCGUUGUUAAAUGCAACAGCGGUCGAGAUUGGAAGGCCGCGUUUAAACGCAGUGACAGAGCCUGGCUACUUGGCGGUAAGAAGUGAAGUGAUAGUUAAGGAAACAACAUUCUACAUUCAUAAUUUGUCGAAAUGUUAGUUAUUUGUUAGCUAUAUGUUUGGUUAAGAUUCAGUCCGAUUAACUUUUGGAGCAUCAGUUGUUAUUUAGAUAAUAGACCCAGUACAGUACUGUAUUAUGCCGUCUGGCUAGCUAACGUUACCCCUUUGUGGGAGUCGACUGCCCGACAAGCUAACGAAUUUAAACCCGCCAACGAUCAAAGUUGGCUGAGUAAACAACCAAUGAUAAAUUGGAUAACAGGGUUGUUUUAUCGUAACUUAAAAUCUGUAUUUGAACUCUACUCCAGAGUAAUUAAAAUGUUACCGAAUCGAAUAUAGACUACUGGCAGUUGCUAGCUGGUGUUGCAAUGCUACCCAACUUGGCAAGCAAAAUGGCCGCCAGAGUGACCGGGUAGGUAGCUAAUGUACUGUAGUUGGUUAGCGAACCUAAUACACUAGCUACCCCGUUGAUCAGUUGUAACAUUAAAACUAUCAUGGUAAAUUUUAUAAAAAUAUGGACUGGCACUUUAUAUUACCCGGAUAUGCUUGUUAUUUUUCAUAUUGCGCAAUCUGGCUAAUGUUCGCUAACUAGCUAUGAGUUAGCAUCAUAAUACAUGAAUAACACUUGGUGGGUUCUACUGACACCGCGGGCAGCGAUUUAGCACUAAUGUUAUUGUUUUGUUGUGGAAAUCCAAUGUAUAAUAACGAAUGUAUUUAAUGGAACAUCUAACUAUUACACGAGUAAUUAAAUGUCUAGGGAAUUUGGUUUCCUGUCCGUUUUGGUAUUGCUGUGAACAAUAGCUGACUAUGUAGCUUAGCCUGGCUUUGUACAGUCAACGUUGAAACCUCGUCUCAACAUGGCGGUUGUGUGUGGAUAGUACUGGUUGUUCUUUUUGGCCAGAAACAUGUAGUAAUAACUACUUGCGAAACUGAAAGUAAGCGUUUACAGGUCAUUUGUUGGAUUUUAUUUGUGUUGUAAAAUGCAAGGUGUACCUUUGCUUGCAUGUUGGCUAAUCAUGUAAUCUCUAAAGCCUUUUCUUAGUUUCAGAUAUUUUCCAUUGUUUCCUAUUGUUAACAAUCUUCCCUGCCAAGCUUGGCUUGGAGAAUGUUGCCAAUGUUAAUGUAUAUCUCUACGGCAGGCUUAUUGAAAAGUGGGAACCAGAAAUGAUUGUAAUAAGGAACUACCUGGUUAUUGCAUCUGCCCAUUAAUACAGUCUAGAUUGCAUGGAAGUUGGAGUAAGAAGAGCUUCUGUAUAUAGAAAAAUUAUAAUUGGCUACAACACUGCGCACUGUUACCUGCUUUACCAGUCACCAGUAGUGUUUUCAUUAUGAAAGUGCCUGGUAGUUGCUGCCACAUUAUACAAUAAUCUUGUUAGAGUGGAAGUUGGACUAAGGAGGGUAUUUCGCAAAACCCUGUCUGGAAUCCACCAGACUGAAAACAAAACCAGCUUUGCAACUUCAUACUUAAAAUUAGCUCAUGUAAAAUGUUGUCCUUAUACUUUAAUCAGUGUGUUUUUGUUUUUCUCUGAUGUGGUGUUUUUUUUUUUUUAUAUACAUUAUACCAAGACAUUGUUUGAUGUGCUGAAUUUCAGUGUGCUACACCUGCCAUGUCCAUAAAUGAGUGCUUUUGUGUUAGUGAUCUGAAAAUACUUUUCUGUUUUAAACACAAAUGUAAACUGUGGUGUUUAGAAAUGUAGACUGUGACAAAUCUAAUGGAUUGUCAUUGUAUUUGAAUGUUUAAAGUAAUAAAGACAUUUGAGGUACCUCGUGACUUGCUCACACAUUUGGUAA